GGAAUAAAGUGAACGUAUUUCGUCAGUCGAUCACAAAUCACCCAAAUCGUAGUAUGACCGCAAGAACUAGGUACACCCCUGGCCAACAAAAAGAAGCUCUCAACCUAGCCAAUGUUGCCUUCACCCCUGAGUGUCCUGCUGUAGGUGUAUGGUGGUACUCACGCACUAUCUUCUGGCGCAAAUCAGCUAGUGCAGGUAUGGAGUAAAUCAGGCAGCGGGGAGGAGAAAAU